rnacentral:tRNA from 1 species
UCCCGGAUAGUGAAGUGGCAUCACAACAGGCUCUGAACCUGUUAUCCUAGGUUCGAAUCCUAGUCCGGGAUCCA